GUGUGUGUCUGUGUGUGUGUGUGUGUGUGUGUGUGUGUGUGUCUGCUCUUCUGAACACGUCUCCUGCUCUCCUCUAACAGGAAGUCUCCUCUCUGAAAAACAGCAUUUUGGGUAUGAGCAUGUGGAUGAUGAGCUUCUCUCAGUAAAGUCUGGGAUCAAAGAAAAGGCUGAGUAUUAUGAUGAUGUCAUGGACACCAGUGACAUCAUAAGUGGGUGCAGUUGUUAAGUGAUCACAUAAAUUUACUGAGUUGACAUUAAACCAUGAGGUCAGAAUGUGAUGGAGCUGUUUGUACAGAGUCUCUGCUUUUAUUUCAUUUAGGUGAUCCAGGAAGAGUCGACCCACCAGAGGACUAUGAUGAUGCCGUCACUGCUGGACCCAUCCCUGAUAACGUGGAUGAGGAUGAAGCUGAGAAUUAUGAUGACGCCAUUACAGCUGAUCAGAAGUCAGUUAUACUGACAG